rnacentral:rRNA from 1 species
UACGAAGGGGGCUAGCGUUGCUCGGAAUUACUGGGCGUAAAGCGCACGUAGGCGGCUUCUUAAGUCGGUAGUGAAAUCCUGGAGCUCAACUCCAGAACUGCCUUCGAUACUGGGAAGCUCGAGUCCGGGAGAGGUGAGUGGAACUGCGAGUGUAGAGGUGAAAUUCGUAGAUAUUCGCAAGAACACCAGUGGCGAAGGCGGCUCACUGGCCCGGUACUGACGCUGAGGUGCGAAAGCGUGGGGAGCAAACAGG